AUUGGUGACGAAAAUCUAGAGAAAAAACUAUUUUGGAACUGCCACAAAGGUAGUACUGGGUCUUUAUGGGUUCACUUUUAAGUAUAUUUGCUGCUUAAAAUGUUGUAUUUUGGAUCAUCCUGUGUUAUUUUGCUUUGGCUUUAAAGCACAUGUUCCAUCUAAACCUCUAACUACUCUGUGUUUUGGCUGCAGGAUAAUGUUUUGACCUUCUCUCCGAGCCGAGGACACACCUCUGGGUUUGAGAACCUGAUUCCUCACCACUCAAAGCUGCACAGAGAAAAUAGUUGUGAUGACAUUCAGCUCAAUAAGGAAGUAUUUGGUAUUUCGGCUCACCUCUCAGCUGCGGAGAUGAAAACCAGGUGUACUUUACAUGUUUCUGUUGCAGAGUACUCACUGAGAAGAAUGAUGACACAAAGCAAGAUGGCCACCAGGGCUCCCGUGCUAAGCCCCGCCCUCGCUGUCAGCGCCUCGGCGUUGCAGAGCUUCAUGUUGCCCUCGCGGUCGCAGGUGCAAACCCUGAUGGUCAACGUGUUGGUGCUGCUUUGCAUUGGGUACUCGCCGUCAGAAAUGACCACAGCUGGUCACCAAUGGCCCCCAGUGAUGGACGGAGAUUGAGUAGUAAAUGGAGAGCUUUGCCUUUUGGAUCAGCUCCGUCUUCACCACAACAGACCAUCACAUCAUCCACACAUUCCAUCGCUCCGUCACUGGUCUUAGGGUGACAAAUGGGUAACAGGGGUCGCUUGGAGCCUAUCCCAGCUACAUAUGAAUGUAAAGGAAG